AUUGAACGCUGGCGGCAGGCCUAACACAUGCAAGUCGAGCGGUAGCACAGAGAGCUUGCUCUCGGGUGACGAGCGGCGGACGGGUGAGUAAUGUCUGGGAAACUGCCUGAUGGAGGGGGAUAACUACUGGAAACGGUAGCUAAUACCGCAUAANGUCGCAAGACCAAAGUGGGGGACCUUCGGGCCUCAUGCCAUCAGAUGUGCCCAGAUGGGAUUAGCUAGUAGGUGGGGUAACGGCUCACCUAGGCGACGAUCCCUAGCUGGUCUGAGAGGAUGACCAGCCACACUGGAACUGAGACACGGUCCAGACUCCUACGGGAGGCAGCAGUGGGGAAUAUUGCACAAUGGGCGCAAGCCUGAUGCAGCCAUGCCGCGUGUGUGAAGAAGGCCUUCGGGUUGUAAAGCACUUUCAGCGGGGAGGAAGGCGANAAGGUUAAUAACCUUGUCGAUUGACGUUACCCGCAGAAGAAGCACCGGCUAACUCCGUGCCAGCAGCCGCGGUAAUACGGAGGGUGCAAGCGUUAAUCGGAAUUACUGGGCGUAAAGCGCACGCAGGCGGUCUGUCAAGUCGGAUGUGAAAUCCCCGGGCUCAACCUGGGAACUGCAUUCGAAACUGGCAGGCUAGAGUCUUGUAGAGGGGGGUAGAAUUCCAGGUGUAGCGGUGAAAUGCGUAGAGAUCUGGAGGAAUACCGGUGGCGAAGGCGGCCCCCUGGACAAAGACUGACGCUCAGGUGCGAAAGCGUGGGGAGCAAACAGGAUUAGAUACCCUGGUAGUCCACGCCGUAAACGAUGUCGAUUUGGAGGUUGUGCCCUUGAGGCGUGGCUUCCGGAGCUAACGCGUUAAAUCGACCGCCUGGGGAGUACGGCCGCAAGGUUAAAACUCAAAUGAAUUGACGGGGGCCCGCACAAGCGGUGGAGCAUGUGGUUUAAUUCGAUGCAACGCGAAGAACCUUACCUGGUCUUGACAUCCACAGAACUUANCAGAGAUGNUUUGGUGCCUUCGGGAACUGUGAGACAGGUGCUGCAUGGCUGUCGUCAGCUCGUGUUGUGAAAUGUUGGGUUAAGUCCCGCAACGAGCGCAACCCUUAUCCUUUGUUGCCAGCGGUNNGGCCGGGAACUCAAAGGAGACUGCCAGUGAUAAACUGGAGGAAGGUGGGGAUGACGUCAAGUCAUCAUGGCCCUUACGACCAGGGCUACACACGUGCUACAAUGGCAUAUACAAAGAGAAGCGACCUCGCGAGAGCAAGCGGACCUCAUAAAGUAUGUCGUAGUCCGGAUUGGAGUCUGCAACUCGACUCCAUGAAGUCGGAAUCGCUAGUAAUCGUAGAUCAGAAUGCUACGGUGAAUACGUUCCCGGGCCUUGUACACACCGCCCGUCACACCAUGGGAGUGGGUUGCAAAAGAAGUAGGUAGCUUAACCUUCGGGAGGGCGCUUACCACUUUGUGAUUCAUGACUGGGGUGAAG
rnacentral:rRNA from 1 species